UGUCCAUCAAGCCUCUGAGCAACGGCGCCCCCCCCGCCCCCGCCAGCGUCGACACCCUGAGGGCAACCAUCCAGGGCAUGACCCUCAUACCCUCGAAGGGCCGUGUAGGGGGGGCGGUGUGGACGGAGGGGGGCGGUGAGGGGGGCGGCGCCCUGCGACGCUCCAGCAGCGCCACCAGGAGCUCCUCUGCCGACCUCCUGGGGCUACACUUCGGGGCGCCCCCCACCGCCCCCCUUAACAAUGACCCGAUGUCACCGCCUGCGCUCG